UUGCUCGAAAAUUACGCAAUGAUGUAUUUCAUCGAAAUAGACGUGAACAUGCCUGCGUGCGCGCAACUAAUGGAGUAACCCAUGCAUUCGUCAAAUUAUUGACAUGCUUGUCAACUUGCGCGCACUGAUUUUUUCCCUUCACAUUCCAAAUGGUAUAGCCUAUAGAAAGUGAGUCCCUGAAUCGAUGUGCACCACAUCUCAACUCCCAUUCGUUCGAGGAGGAAACGCUAGAACUGGUGAGAAAUAUUGGCGUGGCAUCUAAACCCAGGUUUUAUUUUCGUGUCACGUUGAACCCUAUUUAGCAACAUCCCAUAGAAGUCAUGGAAGGAGUCAGCAGCAACAGGAACAUGUCAUACAGUCGAUGGAGUUAUGACAGAAGAAAGCCGUGACAGAAUCACCCACCACAACAGGACCAAGCGGCGUGGUGACAGGCAGCGGCAGCAGGAGCAGCGCGAGGAGUACUGGACAUGGGAGGAUGAGUUGGAUGGAAAAGGACCCUGGGCACAGCCUGGAGAAUAUCGCCGCCCCAAAGAAGAGCUGGAGGCAGCGAAGGCGGAGAGGCGCUGGUAUGAGGAGGCAGCACGGCGGCGUGGAUGGAAGCCCGAGAGUCAGCCCCAAAAAUGUCUUGGGGGGGGGGGGCACACAGGAGGUGUGGUGAAGCCAGGUAGGAGACCUGCGCCAACUUCCUGUGCUUACCGGGCGAUGGCUAGAAAGCCUUCCUGUGCGAUGGCUAGAAAGCCGGUGACUUCGAACGCCGCCCGAACAAGGAGAGAAAAGGCGUUGUCUUGCCCUCUUCACGAAGGUCUUGGUGUUUGGACCAUUCUAGUUUGUUAGUAAUGUGGACACCAAGGAAAUUUAAACUCUCAACCUGCUCCACUACAGCCCCAUCAAUGAGAAUGGGGUGUGCUCAGCCUUCUUUUUCCUGUAGUCCACGAUCAUCUCCUUUGUCUUGAACAUUUUGAGGGAGAGGUUAUUGUCCUGGUACCACACUGACAGGUCUCUGACCUACUCCCUAUAGGCUGUCUCAUUGUUUUCGGUGAUCAGGCAUACAACCGUUGUCGUCUGCAAACUUAAUGACGGUGUUGGAGUCGUACUUGGCCACGCAGUCAUGGGUGAACAGGGAGUACAGGAGGGGACUAAGCAUGCACACCUGAGGGGCUGCUGAUGGCAGCAUUUGCGUGAAACUGAAAGCGCGAACCACUGCUUUUAAUC
rnacentral:lncRNA from 1 species